GGCACAACCUUCAAGUAGUUGAUGCUCAGCCCUGAAAAUAACUGCUUCCACCCUUGUGUUUGGACGAUCAUAACCAGGGUUUCCAUUGUUCCUUUCAAUUCUGCCGAAUUUGACGUAGCAAGCCUUUGUACCUGCAUUUGCCUUCUUACAACAUCAAGAGGGUAUGUGAAGGUCUGUCCCAUCAAACCAGCAACAGAUCCACAUACCAGUUUCACCAAAAUAUCUUUCUUGUGUUCCUCAGGAACAUGGCGCUUCAUUUCCUCAUAGAAGUAAAAUUUCAAACCAGCAUAAGGGAAGAUUCCAUAAAGGGAUGGAGCCACACCAUGAUAGAGACCUCU
rnacentral:misc_RNA from 1 species